GGUAGAGCACUGUUUGGACGAGGGGCCCCUCUCGGGUUACCGAAUUCAGACAAACUCCGAAUGCCAAUUAAUUUAACUUGGGAGUCAGAACAUGGGUGAUAAGGUCCGUGUUCGAAAGGGAAACAGCCCAGACCACCAGCUAAGGUCCCAAAAUAUAUGUUAAGUGGAAAAGGAUGUGGCGUUGCCCAGACAACUAGGAUGUUGGCUUAGAAGCAGCCAUCAUUUAAAGAGUGCGUAAUAGCUCACUAGUCGAGUGACACUGCGCCGAAAAUGUACCGGGGCUAAACAUAUUACCGAAGCUGUGGAUUGUCCUUUGGACAAUGGUAGGAGAGCGUUCUAAGGGCGUUGAAGCAUGAUCGUAAGGACAUGUGGAGCGCUUAGAAGUGAGAAUGCCGGUGUGAGUAGCGAAAGACGGGUGAGAAUCCCGUCCACCGAUUGACUAAGGUUUCCAGAGGAAGGCUCGUCCGCUCUGGGUUAGUCGGGUCCUAAGCUGAGGCCGACAGGCGUAGGCGAUGGAUAACAGGUUGAUAUUCCUGUACCACCUAUAAUCGUUUUAAUCGAUGGGGGGACGCAGUAGGAUAGGCGAAGCGUGCGAUUGGAUUGCACGUCUAAGCAGUAAGGCUGAGUAUUAGGCAAAUCCGGUACUCGUUAAGGCUGAGCUGUGAUGGGGAGAAGACAUUGAGUCUUCGAGUCGUUGAUUUCACACUGCCGAGAAAAGCCUCUAGAUAGAAAAUAGGUGCCCGUACCGCAAACCGACACAGGUAGUCAAGAUGAGAAUUCUAAGGUGAGCGAGCGAACUCUCGUUAAGGAACUCGGCAAAAUGACCCCGUAACUUCGGGAGAAGGGGUGCUCUUUAGGGUUAACGCCCAGAAGAGCCGCAGUGAAUAGGCCCAAGCGACUGUUUAUCAAAAACACAGGUCUCUGCUAAACCGUAAGGUGAUGUAUAGGGGCUGACGCCUGCCCGGUGCUGGAAGGUUAAGAGGAGUGGUUAGCUUCUGCGAAGCUACGAAUCGAAGCCCCAGUAAACGGCGGCCGUAACUAUAACGGUCCUAAGGUAGCGAAAUUCCUUGUCGGGUAAGUUCCGACCCGCACGAAAGGCGUAACGAUUUGGGCACUGUCUCAACGAGAGACUCGGUGAAAUCAUAGUACCUGUGAAGAUGCAGGUUACCCGCGACAGGACGGAAAGACCCCGUGGAGCUUUACUGUAGCCUGAUAUUGAAAUUCGGCACAGCUUGUACAGGAUAGGUAGGAGCCUUUGAAACGUGAGCGCUAGCUUACGUGGAGGCGCUGGUGGGAUACUACCCUAGCUGUGUUGGCUUUCUAACCCGCACCACUUAUCGUGGUGGGAGACAGUGUCAAGCGGGCAGUUUGACUGGGGCGGUCGCCUCCUAAAAGGUAACGGAGGCGCUCAAAGGUUCCCUCAGAAUGGUUGGAAAUCAUUCAUAGAGUGUAAAGGCAUAAGGGAGCUUGACUGCGAGACCUACAAGUCGAGCAGGGUCGAAAGACGGACUUAGUGAUCCGGUGGUUCCGCAUGGAAGGGCCAUCGCUCAACGGAUAAAAGCUACCCCGGGGAUAACAGGCUUAUCUCCCCCAAGAGUUCACAUCGACGGGGAGGUUUGGCACCUCGAUGUCGGCUCAUCGCAUCCUGGGGCUGUAGUCGGUCCCAAGGGUUGGGCUGUUCGCCCAUUAAAGCGGUACGCGAGCUGGGUUCAGAACGUCGUGAGACAGUUCGGUCCCUAUCCGUCGUGGGCGUAGGAAAUUUGAGAGGAGCUGUCCUUAGUACGAGAGGACCGGGAUGGACAUACCUCUGGUGUACCAGUUGUCGUGCCAACGGCAUAGCUGGGUAGCUAUGUGUGGACGGGAUAAGUGCUGAAAGCAUCUAAGCAUGAAGCCCCCCUCAAGAUGAGAUUUCCCAACUUCGGUUAUAAGAUCCCUCAAAGAUGAUGAGGUUAAUAGGUUCGAGGUGGAAGCAUGGUGACAUGUGGAGCUGACGAAUACUAAUCGAUCGAAGACUUAAUCAA
rnacentral:rRNA from 1 species